GGUGUUCUUCCCGAUAUCUACACAUUCCACCGUUACACCGGGAAUUCCAGUCUCCCCUACCGCACUCCAGCCCGCCCGUACCCGGCGCAGACCCACCGUUAAGCGAUGGGCUUUCACACCGGACGCGACGAACCGCCUACGAGCCCUUUACGCCCAAUAAUUCCGGAUAACGCUUGCACCCUACGUAUUACCGCGGCUGCUGGCACGUAGUUAGCCGGUGCUUAUUCGAAGGGUACACUCACCCCGAAGGGCUUGCUCCCGAUCAAAAGCGGUUUACAACCCGAAGGCCUCCAUCCCGCACGCGGCGUCGCUGCAUCAGGCUUGCGCCCAUUGUGCAAUAUUCCCCACUGCUGCCUCCCGUAGGAGUCUGGGCCGUAUCUCAGUCCCAAUGUGGCCGGUCGCCCUCUCAGGCCGGCUACCCGUCGAAGCCAUGGUGGGCCGUUACCCCGCCAUCAAGCUGAUAGGACGCGACCCCAUCCCAUACCGACGGAUCUUUCCCGGAAGGACAUGCAUCCAACCGGAGCAUCCGGCAUUAC
rnacentral:rRNA from 1 species